UAGUUUAUAUCGAUAUAGUCUACAUUAUCAUUAUACUCGUGGAGCCGCAAGUUUGCCUCUCUUUCGUCCACUUUUGUCUCUACGCUGUGUUACUCCGCCUCUCUCCUUCACUGAACACAACUCCCCCUCCCCCAUCGCUUCACCUGCAGGCAACGACAAGAUGGACACGGCAGCUAUCAAAGAGGAGCUGAGAAUUAAAAGCCAACUCCAGACCACUGCUUGUCCUGAUUUAUGAGGGACUGAUGAGGAGUUGGUAAGGAGAGGAAUCAGAACAGGAGUGCCUGCCCCCCGCCCCAAACACAUUAUCAGCUUUUGUAUGCAGUGCCAGUUCUGCUCUUUUGUCUGUUCAAGCCAAGAAGUACUCUUAAGACAUCACCAGCUACGACAUAGAAGAGGAUUUCAUUUGCCCUGUGUUUACAGUGACUGCGUCUGUUCGUUCAGGACACGAGGGGCAUUGAAGUCUCACCUCAGCAGAUCACACAACAGGGCUAAGAAAAGAACCAAAAGGUGAAGAAGACGGAUAAGAACAUGGCACUCAUCACCCAAAAGAUGGACAUCACAUUCUCUCUCAGGAGGAAAGAAGUUGUGGAGAUGCAGCCCUUGGUCAAGGAAAUGCAGCUCAGAUGGCCAGCUCUCUUCUUGAAAGAACAGAUUUGUGCGGAAUUCUCACGCAUUACCACCAAGGAUCUCAUGGGGACCUUCAUGACUGCCCUCGACACUUACUCACUUCGGCUGAUUAAGCUGUAUCGAAUUAGAAAAGCUGCUUUCCGCAAUGACAUGGAUUCCCUGUUGCAGAAGUUUGAUGAACAGGUAAUAUAUAAAAAUGUAUUUGUGUCUGGUUUAUGAGGAACCUGAAGUUCCCACUGUAACGAAAGAUACUUUAUUAAAUAUUUACUAAAUUGAUGUAAAAAUUGUUAGUUUUCAAAAAGUGUGUCCUGAAUGGGAUUAUAAGCUAACAAGCAGCGCUGUGUUUGGCAGAUUGCAGGUAAUGACAGACAGUUCAACUCUCAUCCCACUCAUGGCAC
ensembl:lncRNA